GAAAUCAAUGCACAAUUGAAGUCUGGGGAGGGAUUCCCUCUCCUUAACCAUCUCUCCCUCUUAACUCCCCUUAGGUAUUUGCUGACCUGUUUGACCCUGUGAUCCAAGAGCGACACAAUGGAUAUGACCCCCGGACAAUGAAGCACACCACGGAUCUGGAUGCCAGUAAAAUCCGUUCUGGCUACUUUGAUGAGAGGUAUGUAUUGUCCUCUAGAGUCAGAACUGGCCGAAGCAUCCGAGGACUCAGUCUGCCUCCAGCUUGCACUCGAGCAGAGCGACGAGAGGUGGAACGUGUUGUGGUGGAUGCACUGAGUGGCCUGAAGGGUGACCUG
rnacentral:sRNA from 1 species